rnacentral:rRNA from 1 species
CAGCAAUGUUGGUGAAAGUGGCAAACGGGUGAGUAACACGUAGAUGACCUGCCUCGGAGUGGGGGAUAACCACGGGAAACUGUGGCUAAUACCGCAUGGUUUGUCUGGUCUGGGAAGGCGAGACAAUAAAGCUUUAGUGCUCUGAGAGGGGUCUGCGUCCGAUUAGCUAGUUGGAGAGGUAACGGCUCACCAAGGCGAUGAUCGGUAGCUGGUCUGAGAGGACGAUCAGCCACACGGGAACUGCGACACGGUCCCGACUCCUACGGGGGGCAGCAGUGAGGAAUAUUGGGCAAUGGGCGCAAGCCUGACCCAGCAACGCCGCGUGAAGGACGAAGGCCUUCGGGUUGUAAACUUCUUUUUGGGGGGAAAAGAGAGGAUGGUACCCCCAGAAUAAGUCACGGCUAACUACGUGCCAGCAGCCGCGGUAAUACGUAGGUGACGAGCGUUAUCCGGAAUUACUGGGCGUAAAGCGCACGCAAGCGGUCUAACAAGUCUGGCGUGAAAUCCUCUGGCUUAACCAGGGGCGGUCGCUGGAGACUGUUAAACUUGAGGCGAUGAGAGGGGUGCAGAAUUCCCGGUGUAGUGGUGGAAUGCGUAGAUAUCGGGGGGAAUACCAGUGGCGAAAGCGGCACCCUGGCGUCGUACUGACGCACAUGUGCGAAAGCGUGGGGAGCGAACGGGAUUAGAUACCCCGGUAGUCCACGCGGUAAACGAUGAACACUAGGUGUGGGUGGAGUCAAUCUGUCCGUGCCAAAGCCAACGCGUUAAGUGUUCCGCCUGGGAAGUACGGCCGCAAGGCUAAAACUCAAAGGAAUUGAC